ACGUCCCUCCUUUCGUUCUUCCUAGGGUUUGGCCCCGCCGCCGCUUUCUUCCACGACGUUUCCUGACCGUGCGCCGCCGCUCAACCGCGCCAACUCCCACGUAUCCGCCGCUGCUCGCCCGCUCGCUGGACUGGCGCCCCUCCACAUGCCCCGCGUGUGCUCAAGCUCCACCACGACAUGAGCUCGCCCAACUGACCGGCAUACCUAGGACCUGGCAGGGCAUCGGGUCACACAUAAUCCUGCUGGUGAUACUGCACCACGGCGGCGCGGCGGCAACAGCCCAAAUUUGCACGAUCCGGGACGCAACUAUACAUGGCUGAUCUCAGGUAUGUGACGCGUUGUUCCUUUUCCAAUCAGGCCAACACCUAUUGAUCAAUCGAUGCACUUCCUAGGAGCAGCAACUAUCCUGGUGAAGUCGAUGGCUAAGAGAUAUGAGAAAGUUCAUGCGUGGGAUAUCCCCUGGAUGCACCUGUUGGAGUGCAAAAUCUACAUGGUCAUCGUACUAAUUAGUAGCUCUUAGGUGCCACUCGCCGCUGGUCGAUGAUAGCAUGUAAAUUCUUGAUAUGUUCCUAAUUAAUUUGUUUUCCUACUCAUAUGACUGAUCGUGUUGAAACCAAUUUCUUCCGGUUCUUAGCUAGAUAUAUUUCUCACAAAUUGAAGUAAUUCUUGAAAUUAAAAUUAUAAUUUAUGACUUAAGUAGUACUUGGAGUCUUAGAUUGGCUCAAUGAUUAAGAGAGAGGAAAAAGCUAUUGCUGUUCCAAGCAAUGGAAAUCAUUUGGUGUAAUUACUACUUUAGUCAAUCUAAGUAUAUAAGGCAUUGGUCCAAUUUUAUUUUGCUACAGACAUGGAGGCACGUAAGAAUUAUCUUCCUCUGACUAAACAUUGAUGCUUAUGCUAUUUCCAUAAAAAAAACUUGAGGCUCAGUAUACUAUCGUUGAUAUGUUCUUGGAACUUUACAUGUCAAUCAUUUAUUAUUAUUUCAGACAAGAUUGAAAUUUAUCAUUAGAUAUUUAUGUGUAUGUCUGCUAAUAUGAUUUUGUGCUACUUCGCUGGUCUUCUGGUGCAAAACCAAAAUCAGCAAAUGAGAAAGUGAAAGCUGACAGAAAAAAAGCAUAACAAAAUAACAUGAUCAAGGAAAAACGAGUCAAGAAUCAAAAAGACUGAUAGUUGCUUGAUGAAAUUCCGGUAUGAGACAUGCGUCUAUGGAGAACUCCUUCCUCACUACCUUGGCACUGUCACAGAUUAGGCCCCUGCUAAAUAUUGAAGAGUUGUAUGUCCAACAAUUGGGGUACUUGAAAAAAUACUUAUGAUUUGUUCUUUCUACUACCAUGGAGUUGGAAAGGAUGCUAAUUGUGGGUUUACUGGUGAUGCUAAAUUAGGGGAGAGAGGCGCUGCCCCAUGACAUGGCUACAAUUUGAAGCUGCGGCUUACUGGAAGGAACAUGUGGUGCACUAUGAGAACAUCAGACGUUUUGCUGUUACCAUUGAGUAAGGUGCUUAUUUGGUAUCAUUUCUUGUAUUUGGAAUUUGUGAUGUUAAAUGGAUCCCUGGACAUGCGCCUUAAAUUUGUGGGCCUAGCGGUAUUCCUACUGCAUUUGUGAUGCAUUCAGCUUUUUGGCUUUUAGGCAUGUGAUGCUGUUACCAUCACAAGUUUAUAGUGUACGACCAUAUUAUCAUUUGACCUGCAGAAACCCCCUUUUCGUUAAAGUAGUUUUAAAAUUUUCUUCAUUAUUCUUCAUUAUUUACUUAACAAUAUUUCUCUGGCUAUUUAUAGUAUUCAGCAGAGGAUGAGAGAAUAAAGUAAAUUAUAAUGGCCACAUACCUUCAGAAUUUUCUUAGGUUCUGUUGUUGCACAAUGAGAUUAAAUUGUAAUAGAAGCAGCUCCUAUCCUUAUGAAAUGCAAGUGUGUAUUUUACGGUAGGACCAUGUCUUUGGACCCUCUUCCCUACGUACUAGCAGUAUCUACAUAACACCACAUGUCCAUUACGUACUCAAAACAUGUGAAAAAAGUAUGGAAAGUGCGUUCAUUUAACUACGUGAUAUUUGCAGAAAUAUAUUUAAGAGUACCAACAAUCAGUGCCGUUCGAGUACGAGUGCCUAAUUCUGCUCCCAAACAAACACAAUCAAACUAGAUCACGUCAUAGGAAAAAUGAAUCUUCCACUAGACGAAAAUGGUAGCCCAUGUGCACAUACUAUAAAUAUUGUGUACCGUUAAGUGCUGACAAGCCUUCAAGAUGAUUUGCUACACAUACUCUUUCUCCUUUCUGUGGACCUGUAUCAUGUUUCUAUAAACCGCAGUAUAACUGGUCGCAUAUAUGAUAAGUAGUGAUGUCUGACCUUUUACCGUGUUUAAGCUAUGUUUCCUCUUACACUUUCAUAUUAGCUUCUAAGAAACAAUUUCCUUAUUUUUUGAAGUAAAUGUACAUCUGUGCCAGCUAGCUUCCCCUAUGUAUUCAAACUGAUGAAGUAGACAGUUUGCAUCGAGGUAUCUAUUAUGUUAGCACCUGCCAUCGAAAAUACCAUGUAAAAUUUUAUCCUUCUACCUAUUGAUUUAGCACGUCUAAACACUAUCAAUGCGCCACAAUAUCAAUCCCUUAAGUAUCCAUGUAAUGCCACGCAUUUUUAUAUUCACCUACCUAUUGCUGUAGAAAUCCUGCACACUACCAAUGAACCCCGACAUCAAGUAGCUAAGUAUCCAUGUAUAAUAUUAUUGUACUUGAUUUGGUCCUGAUUUGCUUAAGUUUUCCGGUUCAUUGAUGUUUUGAAUCAUCAAUAACCGAGAUGGGAUUUCCGGUUGGUUUAGGGUCACAUGAAUUAUGCCCCAAUAUGUAGAGUAUUCAAAUAUAUCAUGACUUGAAGGUAUGCCGCCUUUUGCUUUUUUGUUUUUGUUUUGAUUCACUAAUUUCUAAACCUACUCAUUCUGGUCUUGCUUCAGUUGCUUUACAUCCAUUUGUCCUUUCACCUUUUUUCUUGAGCAUACAAAGUUAGGCAUCUACUGCGGUUUUCGCUACCUUUCAUUGAGUACAUGUUCCAGUUUUGUUGGUUUUGAAGUAUGUGUACUGUGAUUAAAAUAGGGAAGACCGUGUCUUCUACAUAUAUUUUUUUCAUCUAAAAGGUAUAUAUUUGGCAUUACAAAUUUGUCAAGAAAGGUAUUAUGGCAUUCAUCCUGGAGACCAAGAUGCAAAAUGACAAGCAGCAAGCUUAUUAUUUGUCUAAGCUACAGGUUUUUGUGGUAUGUCUUUUGCAUAGGCCAACACACAUUGUAAUAUGAAAAGAUCAUCAUUCGUUCUACUUUUUUGAUAAAUCAUUUGUAUCCCUUAAAGAAUCAUCGAGAAAAAGUGAUUUUGCGGAUUGGUUGUAACCGAUUCUGAUAAGCCAUUUUCUCCUAUGCUACAGGCAAUGUACUGGAAAAUGCAUUGGAGAGACUGAAACAGGAGACCUUAGAGAGGGAGAAAAGAGGUAUGCGGAAUGGGUCCACCAAGAGACAUACAUGGACGCCAAGGAAAGCAUGUAAAUAAAGGGUUGACAAACAAAUAAUGUAUUUAAUUAAGCCAUGUAUUGAGGAAUACGGCACAUGUUUCCAGUACUGAAACUCACUAUCUUGAUUUUAUGAUAUAUUGAAUUUGAUGCUAGGGAAGAUGGUUACUUUGGUGCAUGAUCUUAUAGCACCUUAAGGCAGUUUAUAAAUGUAUUAUGGUAUCUAUUUGUAAAACAAAACUAUUUCUUGCGGUCUGCUAUUAUUACUGAA